CUGGCGGCGUGCCUAAUCAUGCAAGCUCGAGCGGACAGAAUGGGAGCUUGCUCCCUGAUGUUAGCGGCGGACGGGUGAGUAACACGUGGGUAACCUGCCUGUAAGACUGGGAUAACUCCGGGAAACCGGGGCUAAUACCGGAUGGUUGUCUGAACCGCAUGGUUCAGACAUAAAAGGUGGCUUCGGCUACCACUUACAGAUGGACCCGCGGCGCAUUAGCUAGUUGGUGAGGUAACGGCUCACCAAGGCGACGAUGCGUAGCCGACCUGAGAGGGUGAUCGGCCACACUGGGACUGAGACACGGCCCAGACUCCUACGGGAGGCAGCAGUAGGGAAUCUUCCGCAAUGGACGAAAGUCUGACGGAGCAACGCCGCGUGAGUGAUGAAGGUUUUCGGAUCGUAAAGCUCUGUUGUUAGGGAAGAACAAGUGCCGUUCAAAUAGGGCGGCACCUUGACGGUACCUAACCAGAAAGCCACGGCUAACUACGUGCCAGCAGCCGCGGUAAUACGUAGGUGGCAAGCGUUGUCCGGAAUUAUUGGGCGUAAAGGGCUCGCAGGCGGUUUCUUAAGUCUGAUGUGAAAGCCCCCGGCUCAACCGGGGAGGGUCAUUGGAAACUGGGGAAACUUGAGUGCAAAAAAGGAAAGUGGAAUUCCACGUGUAGCGGUGAAAUGCGUAAAGAUGUGGAGGAACACCAGUGGCGAAGCGACUCUCUGGUCUGUAACUGACCCUGAAGAACCAAACGUGGGGAGCGAACAGGAUU
rnacentral:rRNA from 1 species